rnacentral:rRNA from 1 species
AUUGAACGCUGGCGGCAUGCUUUACACAUGCAAGUCGAACGGUAACAGGUUAAGCUGACGAGUGGCGAACGGGUGAGUAAUGCAUCGGAACGUGCCCGAUCGUGGGGGAUAACGCAGCGAAAGUUGCGCUAAUACCGCAUACGAUCUGAGGAUGAAAGCGGGGGACCGUAAGGCCUCGCGCGAUCAGAGCGGCCGAUGUCAGAUUAGGUAGUUGGUGGGGUAAAGGCCCACCAAGCCGACGAUCUGUAGCUGGUCUGAGAGGACGACCAGCCACACUGGGACUGAGACACGGCCCAGACUCCUACGGGAGGCAGCAGUGGGGAAUUUUGGACAAUGGGCGAAAGCCUGAUCCAGCAAUGCCGCGUGCAGGAAGAAGGCCUUCGGGUUGUAAACUGCUUUUGUACGGAGCGAAAAGGCCCUUUCUAGUACAGGGGGCUCAUGACGGUACCGUAAGAAUAAGCACCGGCUAACUACGUGCCAGCCGCCGCCGUAACAC